CAGCACCUCAAGUGGUCAGGAUGAUUAUUGGGCCUAAAGCAUCCGUAGCCGGCGCUGUAAGUUUUCGGUUAAAUCUGUACGCUCAACGUACAGGCUGCCGGGAAUACUGUACAGCUAGGGAGUGGGAGAGGUAGACGGUACUCGGUAGGAAGGGGUAAAAUCCUUUGAUCUAUUGAUGACCACCUGUGGCGAAGGCGGUCUACCAGAACACGUCCGACGGUGAGGGAUGAAAGCUGGGGGAGCAAACCGGAUUAGAUACCCGCGUAGUCC
rnacentral:rRNA from 1 species